rnacentral:tRNA from 1 species
AGAAUAAUAGUUUAUUUAAAAUAUUUAAUUUGCAUUUAAAUGAAAUCGAUAGAUUUAUUUUA